GAAGCAUCGGGAACAUCAUCUGAGAAGGGCAGAACCAAGCGGGAAUUUAUAUGUUCCAUAUGUGGAAGAACAUUACCUAAAUUAUAUUCUCUCCGAAUACAUAUGUUAAAGCACACAGGUGUAAAGCCACAUGCAUGCCAGGUCUGUGGAAAGACUUUUAUCUAUAAGCAUGGUCUAAAAUUACAUCAGAGUCUUCAUCAAUCACAGAAGCAGUUCCAGUGUGAACUGUGUGUUAAGUCAUUUGUUACCAAACGGAGUCUUCAAGAACAUAUGAGUAUUCACACAGGUAAUGAGAAAUUUAUAUUGACAUAGUUACAUUUCAUAAACUAUUAAUGAUUAUGCUUUAAUUAUACCAGAAAUUAUAUUGAUAAACUGAUAGUCGUGUGUGCUCAAUUUUGUAUUGAGACAGUAUUUUAAAUUAAAAGUGCAGGCUGGGCGCGGUGGCUCACGCCUGUAAUCCCCAGCACUUUGGGAGGCCGAGGCAGGCAGAUCAUGAGGUCAGGAGAUUGAGACCAUCCUGGCUAACACGGUGAAACCGUUUCUCUACUA
rnacentral:lncRNA from 10 species